GCAGCCGUGGCCUACUGGUUAGCGCUUCGGACUUGUAACCCGGAAGGUUGCCGGUUCGAACCCCGACCAGUAGGA
rnacentral:tRNA from 1 species